rnacentral:rRNA from 1 species
AUUGAACGCUGGCGGCAGGCCUAACACAUGCAAGUCGAGCGAGCGGCGGACGGGGGAGUAAUGUAUGGGGACUGCCCGAUAGAGGGGGAUAACUACUGGAAACGGUAGCUAAUACCGCAUACUAUCGGAUAACCCAUAUGGGAUUAGCUAGUAGGUGAGGUAAUGGGUCACCUAGGCGACGAUCCCUAGCUGGUCUGAGAGGAUGAUCAGCGACACUGGGACUGAGACACGUGCCAGAGUCCAACGGAGGCGGCAGUGGGGAGUAUUGAACAAUGGGCGAAAGCCUGAUGCAGCCAUGCCGCGUGUAUGAAGAAGGCCCUAGGGUUGUAAAGUGCUUUCAGUCGGGGGGCGUUACCGGCAGAAGAAGCACCGGCUAACUCCGUGCCAGCAGCCGCGGUAAUAC